ACGCGUAUAGAACCUACCUUUUACAGGGGGAUAGCCUUUAGAAAUGAAGAUUAAUAUCCCAUAGUAUUACGAGAUGGCAUCAUUUUGUAAUUAAAGAUUUAUCGGUAAAAGAUGGCUAUGCGUUCUAUUAGUUAGUUGGUAAGGUAACGGCUUACCAAGACAGCGAUAGAUAGGGGUCCUGAGAGGGAGAUCCCCCACACUGGUACUGAGACACGGACCAGACUCCUACGGGAGGCAGCAGUGAGGAAUAUUGGGCAAUGGAGGAGACUCUGACCCAGCCAUGCCGCGUGUAGGAAGAAUGCCCUAUGGGUUGUAAACUACUUUUAUACAGGAAGAAACACUAGUACGUGUACUAGCUUGACGGUACUGUAAGAAUAAGGACCGGCUAACUCCGUGCCAGCAGCCGCGGUAAUACGGAGGGUCCAAGCGUUAUCCGGAAUCAUUGGGUUUAAAGGGUCCGCAGGCGGUCAAUUAAGUCAGAGGUGAAAUCCCGUCGCUCAACGACGGAACUGCCUUUGAUACUGGUUGACUUGAGUCAUAUGGAAGUAGAUAGAAUGUGUAGUGUAGCGGUGAAAUGCAUAGAGAUUACACAGAAUACCGAUUGCGAAGGCAGUCUACUACGUAUGUACUGACGCUCAUGGACGAAAGCGUGGGGAGCGAACAGGAUUAGAUACCCUGGUAGUCCACGCCGUAAACGAUGGAUACUAGUUGUUGGGCAUUAGCUCAGUGACUAAGCGAAAGUGAUAAGUAUCCCACCUGGGGA
rnacentral:rRNA from 1 species